rnacentral:rRNA from 1 species
AGUGAACGCUGGCGGUAGGCCUAACACAUGCAAGUCGAACGGCAGCACAGGAGAGCUUGCUCUCUGGGUGGCGAGUGGCGGACGGGUGAGGAAUACAUCGGAAUCUACUCUGUCGUGGGGGAUAACGUAGGGAAACUUACGCUAAUACCGCAUACGACCUACGGGUGAAAGCAGGGGACCUUCGGGCCUUGCGCGAUUGAAUGAGCCGAUGUCGGAUUAGCUAGUUGGCGGGGUAAAGGCCAACCAAGGCGACGAUCCGUAGCUGGUCUGAGAGGAUGAUCAGCCACACUGGAACUGAGACACGGUCCAGACUCCUUCGGGAGGCAGCAGUGGGGAAUAUUGGACAAUGGGCGCAAGCCUGAUCCAGCCAUACCGCGUGGGUGAAGAAGGCCUUCGGGUUGUAAAGCCCUUUUGUUGGGAAAGAAAUCCAGCUGGCUAAUACCCGGUUGGGAUGACGGUACCCAAAGAAUAAGCACCGGCUAACUUCGUGCCAGCAGCCGCAGUAA